AUUGAACGCUGGCGGCAUGCUUUACACAUGCAAGUCGAACGGUAACAGGGUGCUUGCACCGCUGACGAGUGGCGAACGGGUGAGUAAUGCGUCGGAACGUGCCGAGUAGUGGGGGAUAACGCAGCGAAAGUUGUGCUAAUACCGCAUACGUACUGAGGUAGAAAGUGGGGGACCUUCGGGCCUCACGCUAUUCGAGCGGCCGACGUCUGAUUAGCUAGUAGGUGAGGUAAAGGCUCACCUAGGCGACGAUCAGUAGCGGGUCUGAGAGGAUGAUCCGCCAAACUGGGACUGAGAAACGGCCCAGACUCCUACGGGAGGCAGCAGUGGGGAAUUUUGGACAAUGGGCGAAAGCCUGAUCCAGCCAUGCCGAGUGUCUGAAGAAGGCCUUCGGGUUGUAAAGGACUUUUGUCAGGGAGGAAAUCCCUAGUGCUAAUAACACUGGGGGAUGACAGUACCUGAAGAAUAAGCACCGGCUAACUACGUGCCAGCCGCCGCGGUAA
rnacentral:rRNA from 1 species